rnacentral:tRNA from 1 species
GAGGAUGUAGCUCAGUGGUAGAGUGCUUGCCUAGCAUGCACAAAGGCCUGGAUUCCAUCCCCAGCACCUCA